rnacentral:rRNA from 1 species
AUGAACGCUGGCGGCGUGCCUAAUACAUGCAAGUCGAGCGGACAGACGAGGAGCUUGCUCCUCUGACGUUAGCGGCGGACGGGUGAGUAACACGUGGAUAACCUACCUAUAAGACUGGGAUAACUUCGGGAAACCGGAGCUAAUACCGGAUAAUAUAUUGAACCGCAUGGUUCAAUAGUGAAAGACGGUUUUGCUGUCACUUAUAGAUGGAUCCGCGCCGCAUUAGCUAGUUGGUAAGGUAACGGCUUACCAAGGCAACGAUGCGUAGCCGACCUGAGAGGGUGAUCGGCCACACUGGAACUGAGACACGGUCCAGACUCCUACGGGAGGCAGCAGUAGGGAAUCUUCCGCAAUGGGCGAAAGCUUGACGGAGCAACGCCGCGUGAGUGAUGAAGGUCUUCGGAUCGUAAAACUCUGUUAUUAGGGAAGAACAAAUGUGUAAGUAACUAUGCACGUCUUGACGGUACCUAAUCAGAAAGCCACGGCUAACUACGUG